AAGGUGGAAAGUGUCUGUAAGCUGACCUGAAGAGACUUCAGCAGUGAGUAAGUGCAGCUCUCCCAGCAGCUGUUCCUCUGCUAUGGAUCAGAGUGAGGACAGAGAGGAGGGAGUCCCUCCCUCUAACAGCUCUCUGUGUGAGGAACAUGACAGCCAGACCAAAGCUCAGAGGAUGCAGCAGCAGAGAGCAGACUCUCCUGAACCCAGCUGUGUGUCCAUGAAGAGUGACAGGUCUAUGGGUCAUCCUAUAGACAUUAAAGAUGGACAACCUGC